rnacentral:rRNA from 1 species
AUUGAACGCUGGCGGCAUGCUUUACACAUGCAAGUCGGACGGCAGCACAGAGAAGCUUGCUUCUUGGGUGGCGAGUGGCGAACGGGUGAGUAACAUAUCGGAACGUACCGAGCAGUGGGGGAUAACUAAUCGAAAGAUUAGCUAAUACCGCAUAUCUUCUGAGGAAGAAAGCAGGGGACCAUUUGGCCUUGCGCUGUUUGAGCGGUCGAUAUCUGAUUAGCUAGUUGGUGGGGUAAAGGCCUACCAAGGCGACGAUCAGUAGCGGGUCUGAGAGGAUGAUCCGCCACACUGGGACUGAGACACGGCCCAGACUCCUACGGGAGGCAGCAGUGGGGAAUUUUGGACAAUGGGCGCAAGCCUGAUCCAGCCAUGCCGCGUGUCUGAAGAAGGCCUUCGGGUUGUAAAGGACUUUUGUCAGGGAAGAAAAGGGCGGGGUUAAUACCCCUGUCUGAUGACGGUACCUGAAGAAUAAGCACCGGCUAACUACGUG